rnacentral:rRNA from 1 species
GAUGAACGCUGGCGGCGUGCCUAAUACAUGCAAGUCGAGCGAAUGGAUUAAGAGCUUGCUCUUAUGAAGUUAGCGGCGGACGGGUGAGUAACACGUGGGUAACCUGCCCAUAAGACUGGGAUAACUCCGGGAAACCGGGGCUAAUACCGGAUAACAUUUUGAACCGCAUGGUUCGAAAUUGAAAGGCGGCUUCGGCUGUCACUUAUGGAUGGACCCGCGUCGCAUUAGCUAGUUGGUGAGGUAACGGCUCACCAAGGCCACGAUGCGUAGCCGACCUGAGAGGGUGAUCGGCCACACUGGGACUGAGACACGGCCCAGACUCCUACGGGAGGCAGCAGCAGGGAAUCUUCCGCAAUGGACGAAAGUCUGACGGAGCAACGCCGCGUGAGUGAUGAAGGCUUUCGGGUCGUAAAACUCUGUUGUUAGGGAAGAACAAGUGCUAGUUGAAUAAGCUGGCACCUUGACGGUACCUAACCAGAAAGCCACGGCUAACUACGUGCCAGCCGCCGCCGUAA